rnacentral:lncRNA from 1 species
ACAGAGACAGAGACUAUAACCUUCUCACCUUAGAAAAGUCUUCCAAAGUAUUGGUGUUUUUAUGUUUUUAACCUAGAAAUGAUAAUAUCCUUUAUAGGCAGGGCUUCAUCUCAUCUCCCCCUCACUCCUGGCUACACUCCGCGUCACUUUUCUGUCAACACUGGAAUUAAUUAAAUAUGAAUGAAUUAUUCCUCAGAAAACUAGCUAAAUCUAAAUAUCACGUUGUGAUUUCCCCUUUGAUAAGUAGUGUAACUGCAGAACUAUAUAU